AUGUAUCCUAUGACUGUGUUUCACGUGUGUAUCUGGAUUGCCUGAUGAAGAGUAAGUUCAGACGGCUAGAGAAGAGAUGGGGAAAUGUCGGACAAAGGAUGAGAGAGUACGCUCUCAAUUUUCACAACACAUUCACUGAACUGAAUGGCAGUGAUGACCAGAGGAACCAUCUCCUUCAGAGACUCAGUGAAGUUUUGCUUCACAGUGAUGUAGAAGCACUGAAGAUUACCUGUUGUGCUUUGUUCAGAGAUUUCCCUCAGGAGAGUGAACAGUAUGUACCUGGUCUGCUGCGCUGGAAGGGGGUGUUAUCAGAGCAACAGCUGAGGGAAGUGCUGGAUGUGAGCCGGGACCUCGGCCUCGAUCUGAAGCCUAGACGCGUCACCUGUCAGCCUCUGAAGGGACUUUUUUGUUUUCUUUGAUAUGAAUAACAACAUCAGCCAGAGUUGUAAAAUCUUUGUUUACAAGUUUAAUUCGAUGACUGUUUUGUGACAUUCAUUUUUUGAACGUUA
rnacentral:lncRNA from 1 species